GUGCUCACUUCAGCAGCAUAGAUACUAAAAAUGGAAAGAUACAGAGAUUAGCAUGGCCCCUGCAGAAGGAUGACACGCAAUUCAUGAAGCACUCCAUAAAAAA